rnacentral:rRNA from 1 species
CCCUUAGAUGUUCUGGGCCGCACGCGCGCUACACUGUUCGACGCAGCGAGUCUUAACCUUGACCGAAAGGUUUGGGUAAUCUUCAGCAAAGUCGAACGUGAUGGGGAUCGAUCAUUGCAAUUAUUGGUCUUGAACGAGGAAUUCCUAGUAAGCAUGAGUCAUCAACUCGUGCUGAUUACGUCCCUGCCCUUUGUACACACCGCCCGUCGCUACUACCGAUUGAAUGGUUUAGUGAGAUCUCGGGAUUGGAGACGUUGCGCCGCAAGGCACAUCGUCCUCGAGAACUUGAUCAAACUUGAUCAUUUAGAGGAAGUAAAAGUCGUAACA